rnacentral:rRNA from 1 species
AUUGAACGCUGGCGGCAUGCCUUACACAUGCAAGUCGAACGGGGGUAGCAAUACCCUAGUGGCGAACGGGUGAGUAAAGCAUCGGAACGUACCCAGUUGUGGGGGAUAACGUAGCGAAAGUUACGCUAAUACCGCAUACGCACUGAGGUGGAAAGCGGGGGACCUUUGGGCCUCGCGCAAUUGGAGCGGCCGAUGUCGGAUUAGCUAGUUGGUGAGGUAAAAGCUCACCAAGGCGACGAUCCGUAGCUGGUCUGAGAGGAUGAUCAGCCACACUGGGACUGAGACACGGCCCAGACUCCUACGGGAGGCAGCAGUGGGGAAUUUUGGACAAUGGGCGAAAGCCUGAUCCAGCCAUGCCGCGUGAGUGAAGAAGGCCUUCGGGUUGUAAAGCUCUUUCAGACGGAAAGAAAUUGCCUGGGUGAAUAUCCCGGGUAGAUGACGGUACCGUAAGAAGAAGCACCGGCUAACUACGUGCCAGCCGCCGCAGUAAAAC